AGAAAAUAGUGGUGACAAAGCUGGUGACUCUCACUGAUGAGGUCAAAAAACUCCAGAGGAGCUUACCUAAGUCUGGGAUUGAUAUAAGCAAGAUUGACACCUUGGAAGAGUUCGAGAGGGAGGAGGCUUCUCUUCUUGGAGAAAAACAAAUUUGAAACCUUGGUUUGUCAGCUGGCAAGAGUCGGGGGGAAAGAUGUAAAAGACUGCACGCACAAAGUGAUGGACAGGCCCUUCACCAAUCAGCUGAUGACCUUUUUUAAUAUGAAGGGGAAGGGCAAAAAGGAUCAAAUUGGAAUUGAAGACAAGAAAUUGUUUUCAGCAA